rnacentral:rRNA from 1 species
CGGGGUGCACCAGGCGCGAAAACUUUACAAUGCGGGAAACCGUGAUAAGGGGACACCGAGUGCCAGCAUCAUAUGCUGGCUGUCCAGGUGUGUAAAAUACACCUGUUAGCAAGGGCCGGGCAAGACCGGUGCCAGCCGCCGCGGUAACACCGGCGGCCCGAGUGGUGAUCGUGAUUAUUGGGUCUAAAGGGUCCGUAGCCGGUUUGGUCAGUCCUCCGGGAAAUCUGACGGCUCAACCGUUAGGCUUUCGGGGGAUACUGCCAGGCUUGGAACCGGGAGAGGUAAGAGGUACUACAGGGGUAGGAGUGAAAUCUUGUAAUCCCUGUGAGACCACCUGUGGCGAAGGCGUCUUACCAGAACGGGUUCGACGGUGAGGGACGAAAGCUGGGGGCACGAACCGGAUUAGAUACCCGGGUAGUCCCAGCCGUAAACGAUGCUCGCUAGGUGUCAGGCAUGGCGCGACCGUGUCUGGUGCCGCAGGGAAGCCGUGAAGCGAGCCACCUGGGAAGUACGGCCGCAAGGCUGAAACUUAAAGGAAUUGGCGGGGGAGCACAAGGGCGAAUCGCG